GUGGGGAAUAUUGGACAAUGGGCGAAAGCCUGACGGAGCAAUGCCGCGUGAAGGAUGAAGGCCUAUGGGUUGUAAACUUCUUUUCUCAGAAAAGAAUUAUGACGGUAUCUGAGGAAUAAGCAUCGGCUAACUCUGUGCCAGCAGCCGCGGUAAGACAGAGGAUGCAAGCGUUAUCCGGAAUGAUUGGGCGUAAAGCGUCUGUAGGUUGUUUAAAAAGUAUUCUGUCAAAGAUUAGGGCUUAACCCUAGAUAGGCAGAAUAAACUUUUAAGCUAGAGUUUGGUAGAGGCAGAGGGAAUUCCCGGUGGAGCGGUGAAAUGCGUAGAUAUCGGGAGGAACACCAAAGGCGAAGGCACUCUGCUGGGCCAAUACUAACACUGAGAGACGAAAGCGAGGGGAGCAAAUGGGAUUAGAAACCCGUGUAGUCC
rnacentral:rRNA from 1 species